GACGAACGCUGGCGGCGUGCUUAACACAUGCAAGUCGAACGCUGAAGCUCAGCUUUUGUUGGGUGGAUGAGUGGCGAACGGGUGAGUAACACGUGAGUAACCUGCCCCCUUCUUUGGGAUAACGCCCGGAAACGGGUGCUAAUACUGGAUAUUCACUGGUCUUCGCAUGGGGGUUGGUGGAAAGGGUUUUUCUGGUGGGGGAUGGGCUCGCGGCCUAUCAGCUUGUUGGUGGGGUGAUGGCCUACCAAGGCUUUGACGGGUAGCCGGCCUGAGAGGGUGACCGGUAACAGUGGGACUGAGAUACGGACCAGACUACUACGGGAGGCAGCAGUGGGGAAUAUUGAACAAUGGGAGCAAGCCUGAUGCAGCGACGCCGCGUGAGGGAUGGAGGCCUUCGGGUUGUGAAGCUCUUUCGCUCAUGGUCAAGCCGCAACAAUGGUUGUGGUGAGGGUAGUGGGUAAAGAAGCGCCGGCUAACUACGUG
rnacentral:rRNA from 1 species